GAUGAACGCUGGCGGCGUGCCUAAUACAUGCAAGUCGAGCGAACGGACGAGAAGCUUGCUUCUCUGAUGUUAGCGGCGGACGGGUGAGUAACACGUGGAUAACCUACCUAUAAGACUGGGAUAACUUCGGGAAACCGGAGCUAAUACCGGAUAAUAUUUUGAACCGCAUGGUUCAAAAGUGAAAGACGGUCUUGCUGUCACUUAUAGAUGGAUCCGCGCUGCAUUAGCUAGUUGGUAAGGUAACGGCUUACCAAGGCAACGAUGCAUAGCCGACCUGAGAGGGUGAUCGGCCACACUGGAACUGAGACACGGUCCAGACUCCUACGGGAGGCAGCAGUAGGGAAUCUUCCGCAAUGGGCGAAGGCCUGACGGAGCAACGCCGCGUGAGUGAUGAAGGUCUUCGGAUCGUAAAACUCUGUUAUUAGGGAAGAACAUAUGUGUAAGUAACUGUGCACAUCUUGACGGUACCUAAUCAGAAAACCACGGCUAACUACGU
rnacentral:rRNA from 1 species